rnacentral:lncRNA from 1 species
CAUAUCCCGAUUGUGAAUGCUGGACGUAGCCACUCCCUCGUGAAUCAGAGUAUCUGGUUCCACUGUAAUAAGUUAGUGAAUAAUUCUGAGAUACUAAUGGUAUCAACAAUAACAAAGCCUAUCAGCCAACAUCAUUGACGGAAAUUUGAUGACCCUAAACUACGAAAAUUGCUGGAAAAAAAAUAAUUUGAUUCACUCCCAUGUUUCUAAAUUUAUUAUUCGCUCUAGCGAUUUCGCAAAAGAGAGGACAAAUUGACGUCGUGACGGAAAUACCUACCAGGAGAUUGAUUUUCUCUUCUUCUCUGUGUGUUACGUACUGGCGGAAAAAGAGAGGACCUUAAGCAAUUGGGAAAGUAAAUAAGGAAAAAAACCCUAUAAAUCCAGAUGAGGAAGACGAACUGAUAUUGGUUGCGAAAGAUUGGGAAGUAUAAAUUAAAGUAGAUGUUGUCAAUAAGGG